rnacentral:rRNA from 1 species
UAGGGAAUUUUCCACAAUGGACGAAAGUCUGAUGGAGCAACGCCGCGUGCAGGAUGAAUGUCUUCGGAUUGUAAACUGCUUUUCUCUGUGACGAAUAUGACGGUAGCAGAGGAAUAAGGACCUGCUAACUACGUGCCAGCAGCCGCGGUCAUACGUAGGGUCCAAGCGUUAUCCGGAAUUACUGGGCGUAAAGAGUUGCGUAGGUGGCAUAGUAAGCGAAUAGUGAAAUGACGGGGCUCAACCCCGUGUCCAUUAUUUGAACUGCUAAGCUAGAGAAUAUGAGAGGUAGAUGGAAUUCCCUGUGUAGGAGUGAAAUCCGUAGAUAUAGGGAGGAACACCGAUGGCGUAGGCAGGCUACUGGCAUAUUUCUGACACUAAGGCACGAAAGCGUGGGGAGCAAACGGGAUUAGAUACCCCCGUAGUCC